GCGGAGGAACAUGUGGUUUAAUUCGAUGAUACGCGAGGAACCUUACCCGGGCUUGAAAUGUGCAGGACGGGGGGCAGAGACGCCUCCUUUCUUCGGACCUGCAUGUAGGUGCUGCAUGGUUGUCGUCAGCUCGUGCCGUGAGGUGUCGGCUUAAGUGCCAUAACGAGCGCAACCCCUUCCGCCGGUUACCAUCGGGUUAUGCCGGGGACUCCGACGGCACUGCCGCCGCAAGGCGUGAGGAAGGUGGGGAUGACGUCAAAUCAGCACGGCCCUUACGUCCGGGGCUACACACGUGUUACAAUGGGGGGCACAGCGAGCAGGGCGCAGGCGACUGCAUCCGAAUCAAGAAAUCCCCUCCCAGUUCGGAUCGGAGCCUGCAACUCGGCUCCGUGAAGCUGGAUUCGCUAGUAAUCGCGCAUCAGCCAUGGCGCGGUGAAUACGUUCCCGGGCCUUGUACACACCGCCCGUCAAGCCAUGAAAGCCGGGGGCGCCUGAAGUCCGCAGCCGCCAAGGCGCGGCCUAGGGCGAUACCGGUGAUUGGGGCU
rnacentral:rRNA from 1 species